GUCACUGUGACCUAGUUAGUUAAAGCAGCUGUCUAGUAAACAGAAGAGCCUGGGUUUGAAUCCUAGCAAUGUCU